CCUGUGGAGUGUUAAGCAAACUGUAGUAGCAGGAUAGACGCGAGGCAGAACACGAUGAAGCAGGAA
rnacentral:ncRNA from 1 species